rnacentral:lncRNA from 1 species
UGCAGGACAAACAGGAUAAUUUAUUCUCAUUUUUCCUUAAAAGAAGGAUACAGUAGAAGUUUUAUAAUUCAGUAUGAUUAGACGUGAUUUAUAAUUUUAACAUAAAAAAAAAUGACAACAGAAACAAAUAACUAGUACAAAUUAUAAAACUAACAGAGCAAAGAGAAACUACCUUUCUGAUCGGAACAUGUACCACAGCUAUACUCCCUUAGAAAACUUUCUAAGUUUUCUAAGCUAAAACUUCUUAGAAAGGGAUCGGAGGAAAGCCUUUAAUCUCAAGUAUUUAAACUAUUCCUGUACCCACUAAAUGUUUUCAACAACUUGUUAAUCAAGUGCUUCCUAAAUUUAGGAACCAGUGACCAAGUGGCCUGAAAUAAGUCUUGAUCUUAUCUUUCCAGCUAUAAAUUAUUACUAUUUCAAGAAAACAAAAUAUUUUCUAAGCAACGUUAAGUUUUCUAAAAACUUCAAUUACCUUUUCUGGCUCAGUACCUGCCUGACUGAAAUGUUCAAAUGUUCAUAUUGCACACAAAAAAAUUUGAGCAGCAUACUAUAUGAGUGUGAGAAGCUGAUGAAUAUUAAGAUUGAGGAAACUCCCUAAUGAGUCACAUUUACAUGAUUUAAAUAUAUACUUUCUAUAUCUUUAAUUAAUAUAAGUAAAAAGGUAAUCUUUAGAACAGCACAGAAAUACAAAUGCAUUAGUUUUAUAAAAUAUAUUCAACCCCUUAUACGUGCAACAAUCUUUUAAUUUUGGAGCUGCCACAUAAGGGAGCUAGUUUCUUCUCCUUCAUAUGAAAGCAGGAAGUCAUGUGUACAAAGUUAUUUAUGUGAGAAGAAUAAAGAAACACAUUCCUUUUCUUUGUCCUUGACAAAUAUUUAUGGAAUGUUGGGAAUUAUGAAAAAACAAUUCCAAUGUUACGAAGCCCAAAGACUUGGAAUGAAAAAACUCCUAGCAACACAUUGCUCUACGUGGAAUGAGACAAUCUUCUAGAAACUAGGGCUGCGUUCUCUAUCUUGUUUAGAGGGUACCACAGAACUGGGUGGG